CCUGCCCACUGGUUUCAAAUUAAAAAAUUAUAAGUAAAUUUUAAGAUUACUUAAAGGACGCGGUAUUUUGACCGUGAUAAUGUAGCAUAAUCACUCGCCACUUAAUUGGUGGAUAGUAUGAAUGGUUAAACGAAUAUAACACUGUCUCAAGUAAAGGAUUUAUAAAAUUGGAAUAAUAGUAAAGAUCUAUUUAUAAUUAUAAGACGAAAAGACCCUAUAGAGCUUAACUAUAUUCUUUUUAUAUUAAUUUUAAUAUAAGUUUACUUAUAAAAAUAAAAAGAUUGGUAGUUUAGUUGGGGCGACUGUUUUCUAUAAUAAACGAAAACAAACAAAAAUUAAUUAAAUAAUUUAUUGUAUAAUUAAUAUAUUUAACAAUUACUAUAGUAGGUAAUAAUGACCCGUUUUUUCUCACAAAAAGAUAAACGAUUAAUAAAUAAAAGCUCCUUAG
rnacentral:rRNA from 1 species